rnacentral:rRNA from 1 species
GACGAACCGAGCGAACGUUAUUCGGAAUCACUGGGCUUAAAGGGCGCGUAGGCGGGCCGUCAAGUCAGGGGUGAAAGCCCCCAGCUCAACUGGGGAAGUGCCUCUGAUACUGGCGGCCUCGAGGGAGGUAGGGGCGUGCGGAACUUCCGGUGGAGCGGUGAAAUGCGUAGAUAUCGGAAGGAACACCAGUGGCGAAAGCGGCUUCCUGGUCCAGCACCGACGUUCAGGCACGAAAGCGUGGGGAGCAAACAGG